AGAGAGCCCAGGAGGAAUGCUGUGUUCUAUGCCAUGUAGGGAAUGAGUAGACAUCUGGUUGUUCCUUCCGAGGCUCCCCAUGGAGCUGGGGUGCCUGAAGGUAAAUGGUCCCAAAGCCAGGUGUAGCUGCACCCCUGUACUCAGGGAUAAACUCCUGACCCCAGGUCCUGGUCAAGUUGGGAGUCUUUAAAAGACAGUGACAGGCAGAAG
rnacentral:lncRNA from 1 species